AUGGUUGACGCUACCUUUUAGCGACAAUGAAAUUAUCUUCCUUUAUUCCUCCAUUGUCCUCCAGACGGUCCUUUUAUGUAAUAAAUAUAAUGCUCCAUCUGUAUACGUAAUACGUCUAUGCUCCGAGAUGUAGGAAUUACCUGGUCUGAAGUACUGUCGAUCUUGUCGACGUUUGUGGUUUAAUUAAUCGAUUCAAUGAUUAUUGUAUAUAAAUCAUCGAAUAUCUUACUUAUAUUUUGAUCUGUCGAAAAAAUUAUUACAUUGACAUUAUAGAUCAAUAUAUAUAAUUGCAAAUUUAUAAUUUAAUAUUGCUAGUCAAAUGCCUAAUGUCAUAAUGUCUAAGAAUGUAUAUUAUAUAUAUUGAUGUAUAUGAUAAUGUUAAAAAUUAAAAAUAAAUUGCCAUCAGUAUUAAAUAAUUAAAUAAAAAUGGAGGAGAGAGCAAUGCUAUGGAUGCUUUCUCUUGUUAUGUUUGUUGGAUCUUGUCUUGGAGCUGGAUCACUGCCAUUAAGUUAAAUAAAUUUAUCAGAAGAAGUAAGAUAUAGAAGUGAAGAAGAAUAUUUUAUGUAAUAUAAAAUUAUGACAAGUUACAAUUAGUUUCAAUAUUAGGAGCAGGACUCCUUGUUGGUACUGCGCUAGCGAUUAUACCUGACUGUACCUGAGGGUGUAAGAGCAUUAUUUACUGUGGAUGGUAUUAAUAAUGAAAAAGGCAAUUUACAUACUUUAACUUGGAAUUAGUUUAGUACUUGGUUUAUGCUUUUAAUUGAUCAAUGUUCAGCCAGAAAAAGUGGAGGAAGACAAGAAAAGUAUUACAGCAACUUUAGGUCUUAUAGUAGAUGCUGCUAGUUGAUUGGCGGUGUUGCAUUGGGAGCUGCUGCUACUACAUCUCAAGCUGAUGUCGAAGUGUCUUAGUUUUUCUUCGCAAUAAUGUUACACAAGGCGCCAGAUGCAUUUGGACUUGUGUCAAUUUCUUCUUCAUGAAGGUGUAGAUAGAAAGUAAGAAAAUAAGCAGACACUUAUUAAUUUUCUCUCUUGCGGCACCGUGUCUUGCACUUGUGACAUAUUUUGGAAUUGGAAAAGUAAUGUGAGUGAGUAAUAGUAUAUGGAAUGUAUCGCAAGAUGUGUACACAUACAGUUACACCCCAUAUGCGCACUAUACUUGUUUCUUUUGCUGUAUACAUAUGCGUAUUGUUUAAUAGAAACAUUUAUUAUCUGAAAGGAAAAAAUGUUCCUGCUGAUGCACAAAAGCGUAACGUCAUAUACUGAUAUAUCUAAACACUUAUGAUACUUGCCCUACAGAAUGACAUAAUUUAGAUAAAGGAAAAUACUUAAAUAAAGUGUUAUGCUUGCAGAUAUCCAAACUGUCGAAACGCAAUCUCUGCAAUAUACAAUUGUUGUAUGCAUAUAUGUAUGCAAAACAUAUAAUGGUGCGAGUUGGGAAAAAAAUGCUUUACGAUUUAGAACAGAUACAUUAGAAGCAAUUGUACUAAGCAUUUAACGAAUAAAAUUCAUUUAUAUAUUAUUUAUUUGCCCAAUAUUUCUGUUAUUAAAUUACGUAAUUUUUCCUUAACAGACACCUAUUGUAAUGAAAUAACAUACAGUGCACAAGAUAGUUAAUCAAUAUAUAUUAUAGAGAAACAAUAGAAAAUCCGGGACAUUCAGGACUGCCGCGCAAGACUGCACGCGCCAAUCAGGCGCGAGAACGGACGCGGACGCGCGAAGACUCCCAAUCAGGAGCGAGGACUGCCGUGCGUGCGCGAAGACGUCCAAUCAGGCGCGAGAACUGCCGCGCACGCCGCCAAGACUCCCAAUCAGGCGCGAGGACUGCCGCGGACGCGCGAAGACUGCCAAUCAGGAGCGAGGACUGCCGCGCACGCCGCCAUAACUGCC